UUUUGUAAUGAGGCUGUAUAUCCUGUUAUCACAGUGGGCCUCAGAGCACAGUAGUACACAGCAGAGUCAGACAGCUGCACCCUCUGGAUCGUCAAGGGGACUGACUUGGAGUCUGCAUUGAGAUGGGCAUCAAAUCUAUCCUUGAACUCAGUGGCAUUUUUACUUCCAAAAGGAAAACGGCCCAACAUGAACUUUGGGAAGUCAUUCACUUCAAGCUUGUACCAGAACAGGUAGAUAUCGUUUAUAUUAACGGCAUCAAAUUGACAGUCCAGUGUGACCUGUUCUCCCUCAGUAGCGAUCACAUCUUCUGGUGGCUGAAUGACUGCGUCUUCUCCUCUGCAUUCUGGAAAAUAAUGUAAUACACAUUUGUAUUAGGAGGAAAAUAAUCAAGCAACAUAUUUGAGUGAAUAAAAAUGUAUGAAUUUAAUAGUGAUAGUAUUACACUGAAAAAUAUGUUUUAAAAAAAUAAAUGGAUUUGAGCAAAGGCAGUAAAAAAAAAUGGAAAAUUAUAUUAUAAUACCAUAACAACAUGCAGCAAGAAUCAGUAAAUUACUCAGCCAGGGCCCCAUGUCUGCUAGUGUGAGAUCAAUGGGAGAAUAAUAAACCACUGAUGUAGCUAGGCCAUGAUGGCACCAUGACAUUUUCCUCUCCUCCUCUUUUGGUGCAUUGUCAAACAUUGAGAAUCCUGUGACAAGCACUCUACUGAGCAAAAUGUGAAAUUCUGCCUGGAAUCAAACCUCUUCUUAAACUCAUCACUAUUGCUCCCUUCUGAAUAACGAUCUCUUCUCAGGACAUACUGAGGAGAGUUCCUAGUUAACUGGAUGUACCAGAAGAUGCACUACUGGUAGUGUAAUUACAGCUGAGUGUUACCAGUCCUCCUUCAACGGCAGUAACAUGUCCACCCUGCUGGUCAACAGCCUCACCUUGCAAUCUGAAAAAUACAGUAUAUAUUUUGGGGUUUUAUAAUACAUUAUAUGCUUAGGUUCAUAGAAUGAGAGUGUAGAAAGGAGAAGCACUCCAAAAUAGCAUGCAGCCAGGAUAAGUAAAGUAUUCCUAAGCCAAUGUGCCAUUAUGCUUCAUGUAAGAAUAGACUGUUGUAGACUUUAUGUUCCAUCCACUGUAGGGGCUUUGCAGUAGAGGAGAAGCUUAUUGUAUAUUACAUUAUUUAGUUAAACAGCAAGAGAGAUUCCUAGUUAAAUUUGAUAUAUUUGGAACCAUUAAAUAUCUUGUUUACAUAAUGUAAUCUCCUUUAAAAUGAUAAUUUGGCAGUUUGGGGUUUGAAGAAAUACAUUUUGUGUUCAGGCCAAAUUGAGUUCAUCCGACAAAUAAAAUACAAUUGAUUUUGAAUUUUAAGACCCCUUGAAGUAUUACAAAAGUAUAAGACAAAAACAUUUUGAUUAAAUGUUUUUUGGUCUUACUGCAAUUAGCCCAUACAAAUUAAUUGAAUGAAUAACAGAUGAAUAACAGAUGAAUAACAGAUUCACUACACUACAUUUUCUGAAGUGUCUGUCCGAUAUCUCAGAGAAAUAAGAAAGAUCAGGAAACAGUUUGUUGUUUUUUACAUGUGUUUUUUGGCAUUAAACAGUCUCCAUAUAUACUUCUAUUUAUUUUUUCAACUGGUACUGUGGGACCUUCAGAUGAGUCUUGAGGCCUUUGGGCAUCCUAGACCAAAACAACUAACAUAUACGUUUUCGUGAGUCUCACAUUAACACGGAGUGGUUAUAUUAGUGUAUACCCCAAACUGUUCUGAUGCUACAAACAGAAGUUGGCAAAUAGGCUGUCCCAAGACGCUUGUGUGGGUCAAAGAUUAAAACGGACAACACCAUUGUGCCAUACUAGUUUGUAGGCCGUUCGGACGCUACACAUUAUUUUGUGAGAAGACCAAUUAUUGGGAUGUCUCAUGGUCUGACAAACAUAGUUCUAGCCCUGUCACCUUUCACUGCAGACACAUCCAAUGCACCACAGAUGCAUCCAAUGCAAAAAAACAGAUAUCACUAGCUUAAACUGACAGAUUUUUAUGGGGAUUUUUUUUAUUAUGCUCAUUAGAUUUCCAUGGGGGCACUGACAUCAAAUAUAUAUAUAUAUAUAUUUUUAAACAGUAGUCAAGUUAACUGAUGAUUGGUUUUAUGAUUGAAGCCAAUGACUUACCCUGGAUGCAACAAUGAUCCUAAUCCCUGUCUCCGAGGUGCAUAUUAACGUAAAUGUUGGGCAAUGACAUCACCAUGCAGUGGUGUAAAGCGUUUAAGUAUAAAUUCUUUAACGUAUCUGCACGGUAAGAUGUAUAUUUUUGACAUAUUUUACUUCACUACAUUCCUAAAGAAAUUAAUGUACUUUGUAAUCCAUAUAUUUUCACUGAAACCCAAAAGUACUCAUUACAUUUUAAAUGCUUACCAGGACAGGAAAAUGUUCCAAUUCACACACUUGUCAAGAGAACAUCCCUGAUCAUCCCUACUGCCUCUGAUCUGGUGUAACGGUCGUCGUAUGAAGAAGGUGUGGACCAAAGCGCAGCGUAGUGCGGACCCCGGCCGCAAAACCUGACUCUAAAGGGGAGGGUCCGGGUGGGCCUUCUUUACGGCGGCGGCUCUGGUACGGGAUGUGGACCCACUCCAGCUCCAGCUUGGCCCACUUAGGUGGCGCCUCUGGAGCAGGGACCCUCGCAACGGGCCCCGGACAGGAGGGCGACUCUGGCAGCGCCGGACAGCAGGGCGACUCUGGCAGUUGUUCACACCAGAUACUGACUGGUUUUCUGAUCCUACUUUCUUUUUAAGGUAUCUGUGACCAACAGAUGCAUAUCUGUAUUCCCAGUCAUGUGAAAUCCAUGAAUGAGGGCCUUAUGAAUGUAUUUCAACUGACUCAUUUCCUUAUAUGAACUGGAAAAAGCUUGUGUGUAUAUUUUUGUUCAGUGUGUAAAAUAAUUGCAAAUUGUGAAUACAAGAAGCACAAAAAUAAUAUGCAAUUUUGACAAGAAAGGGUUAAAACACAAUAAAUGUAUAUUCUGUUUG